CAAAACUGAACCUAUUAUAUGUAACAGAAAGAAUCUGGUUUAUCAGAAGAAAGUUGGAUUCUCAUAUCUGCAUCUGUUUGUUGUGAUAUUAUGUAUCGUAGCCUUUUGGAAAACUCCACUAUACACUUAAGAAAUGAGAGUGAAAAAGACAAAUGAUGUUUUAGUAUUAUUAGGAAAAUAGUUUUUGAUUUUGCAGACAUUCUGAAAGGGUUUUAGGCACUCCCACCAGGAUUCCCUGGGCCACACUUUGAGAACCAUUGUUCUAAGACACCAUCAGCAUUGUUGCCUAUCAGUGUGAGCUUGUCUAGAUUUAUACCAGUGCUUCAGACUUGAAUGUCUAUAUCUGCUUUUUGUUUUUUUCUCUUGCCUUGAUUUCUAGAAAGAGACGAACUAGAAAAUCCAGAGUUUGAGGUUGAAUUUCUUCCUCCAGAAGCUGGAAACAGUGCUGACUCGGGAUGCCUCUGCCCAGAGAAAGAGCACAACACUGAUGCUGAUAUAAGUAAGAAGAAAACAGCCAUCCCAGAUCGACUCCAGGCAUGCCACCUGCGAAAGACCUUGAGCCACCUAGAGAAGCUGCGCGAAGAGAAAGAGCUUUUCAUUCAGAAAACCAGGUGAGGGGCGCCUGGGUGGCUCCGUUAG
rnacentral:lncRNA from 1 species